rnacentral:rRNA from 1 species
AACGUAGGAGACGAACGUUAUCCGGAGUUACUGGGCGUAAAGGGCGUGUAGGCGGUUUGUUAAGUCUGGCGUGAAAGCUCUCGGCUAAACCGGGAGAGGUCGUUGGAUACUGGCAAACUUGAGGAUGGUAGAGGCGUGUGGAAUUCCGGGUGUAGUGGUGAAAUGCGUAGAGAUCAGGAAGAAUACCCGUGGCGCAAGCGGCUCUCUGGACCACAACUGACGCUGAGGCGCGAAAGCUAGGGGAGCAAACAGG